rnacentral:rRNA from 1 species
GGCAUGAAGUUAGGUCAGCAAACCCGCUGAAUUUAAGCAUAUAAGUAAGCGGAGGACAAGAAACUAAACAGGAUUCCCUUAGUAAUGGCGAAUGAACAGGGAUGAGCUCAGCAUGGAAAUCGGGGUCUUCCGACCUUGAAUUGUAGUCUGUAGAUGCACUGCCAACGGAGGCGCAGAUGUAAGCCUCUUGGAAAAGAGCAUCAACGAGGGUGAGAGUCCCGUUUGUCAUCUGCAGUCCCCCGUGCACGGUGUGCCUUCUAAGAGUCACGUUCCUCGGGAUUGGAGCGCAAAGUGGGUGGUAAAUUUCAUCUAAAGCUAAAUAUUGGUUCGAGACCGAUAGCAAACAAGUACCAUGAGGGAAAGGUGAAAAGGACUUUGAAAAGAGAGUUAAAAGUGCCUGAAAUUGCUGAAAGGGAAGCGAAUGGAACCAGUGUUCUUGAUGAGAUUGUUGCGUACUCUGGUGAUUGCUGGGUGCUCCACCGCAAGGGGGGCAUCUAGUUUUGAGCUAGAUGUGCGUGGUGUUUCUUGUCUUGUGUGUCACCGUCGGUGCACGAGCGAGUAAACCUCCAGGGGGCUGGUAACUCGACCAUGGUUGAGUGAAUACCUCUGGCAGUACUCAUUUGUGUAUCGAUCCCUGCGUGUCUGGUUGCAGUGUUUGGGUCGCCUGGAAACUUCUGAUCAGCUCCAGCUGUGGCGAAGUCCUUUUGGGCGCCCUGAGCAUCUCCCUGACACAAAGACGAUGACUAAAUGGUUCUAUUCGACCCGUCUUGAAACAC